rnacentral:lncRNA from 1 species
GAAAUGCAAAAUAUCGUGCAAAAUAUCCUUCCGGAUAUUACCCUUAAUCACCAAUGAAACCUAAGGUUGAGCAAGAGAACAUUAUUAUAGUUUAUCGAGCAAAACAUUUAAGGGAAACAAAGAAACCCGACUAAUUAAGAGUAAAACGUGUAAAGAUGACUUUCAAGUAAUAAGAGGGUUGUUUGAACCCAAGGAUGAAAAAUCAUGUUGUAAAAUGGAAAACCGGUCAUGGUAUUGGCCAAACAAAAGUAUACAAGUUCAAAUAGAAACCUAGCUCUCGGCGAAAAUUUGGGCAGCACGCCCUUUUGUGUUUACCUAAUUUUCCAGCCAUUUUGGCUUCAUUAUUUUUCCUCAACCACAACCCAACAUCACACAUAAGCAAUUCAAGUCAAGAGCCGUUCCAUAGGCUCACAAUAUCAUAAGAAUAAGAAAUACAGUAAUAACAAGUGCAGAAAUUCAAUUUAGCAAAAGACAGAUUUGACGUAUGAAAGCGGAAAUAACUUAUCCUAGGCUACGCUUAUCGGAUUAAGACGCAACCUAUACCGUUUCGAAGCUAAGACUCAGGGCUACAAUGUUCAUGUAGGUCACUUAGUCUAGUUUCUAAUGUAACUUGGUCAAAUUCUCGAAUUACUAAACCCGAAACCAAUUCGUCGGCUGUUUAAAUACAGAACACUGUAAUGGACAUAACUCAGAGUACACAAGUCCGAAUCAGGUGUUCUUAGAGGCAUUUGAAAGCUAAUUCAGAAUGCUACAACUUUCAUGUUUUGGUAAAAAGCUAAAUCAGAAUGGAUCCUAGUCGAAAAACGUGAUAAACUGGACUUAACUGCUCACACGGACUGCUUGGGAAAUACUUAAAAUAGUAAGGGUAUUUUGGACUUUUCACAUCCUACGUUGCUCCGAUUGAGCUGAAAUUUUACAGGUACCUAUAAAAUACCAUUCUCUACAACUUUCCUUCUUUGACCCAAGGUCAAUUCGGCCUCUAACAUGGUGCAACAAAAACGGACAGAAGUGAAACAUGAAAUUCCAGAAAUCUGGAAAUUUUGGUUUUCAAUUGAACUUUCUUCAAUUCCUUGUUCCAAUCACUACCAAAGCCCCUUGUAUAACCUUAUAUACAACAUAUAGUAACCAUAUAGCAAGUUUGGGCAGAAAUUUAUCAAAUCCUAACUCACUUAUAUCAUCCAAAAAUCAUCACAACAACUUGAAAAUAGGUAUCACUAGCUCAAUUCUAAGCUUAACAACCACUUGAUUAUGAUUAAUGGAGAAGAAAAGGGUGAUCAGCCAAUAUACCUUAAGACAAAGCCUUGCAAGAGUGAUCCUCCACUAUUUCUUGAAAUUUUUGGUUCCCUUAGCUUCCCAAGCUUUCAAACUUACAAUCAAUCGGUUUAGUUUUCUUGUUGCUCACUUAAAUGGAUGAAACUCAAGAUGGGUUGGAGUUUCUUUCUCUUGGUUUCUCUCCCUCUCACUCUCGG